UAAUACCCUUGUUUGCUGAGGCGACACUGCUGAGAAGAUGGAGGGUAUUUAAGUAAAAUCAUUGGAACGUCUGUCCAUUUUCUUGCAAGCCCCUGGUGCCUUAUCUGCUCGUAAUGCGCCUGUGUUCGUUACCACCAACAAUUGAACAAGCACACAGAAAUAGAGUUUCGCUCUCUUUUGACUAUUUAGUUUAGCUCUUCUCUUUCUGCUGGAAGAUCACUUGAAGAAGCAACCCAUAUUGAAAAUGAUGAAUGCUAUGUGUUUUAGUUUUACCCAUGUUUACUCUUCUCUCUCUCUCCCAACAAACCAGGAGUGAUUCUUGGGGAUUCAGUUGUUGGGAGUUUUCUUAGAGUGAACAAACCAAACCUCCAAAUAUGGUAAAUUUCAGUCUUUGGAGGUUAAGGUCGGUGGUUGCUAGGAAAAGUUUACUUUAUUCUGAUGAGCUAUACGCUUGUUGCUCGGUUGAGAUGGCUACAAUAAUUUCCUGGAGAUGGAUGGUGAGGGAUAUGGAUGACCAUUCUCAUAAUCUUGAAUGGAAGUAUUAGUUGUAAUUGAGAGAAUGGUCAAAAUUAAAAACAUAAACAAAAAUUGACCCAUGAUCAUUGAUGCCCAUUUAUCAAAUCAGAGAAAACUUUGCUGGUAUAGUUGUUACUUUAGUGUUCAUUUCAUGGCAUGGCAAUCUAAAAUAGAAUUUACACAGAACACAGUAGUGCAUUAGUAGGGUGGAUUGACACUACUGAACUAGUUGACUGCAAUAAAAAUAAACAACAAAAUUCUUGCUAAUGAUGAACUUUGGGAUCAAGUGGGCCUAAUCAUUGUAGGAUGGAGCUCUAGAGAAAUGCUUAGAAUAAAGCAAAUGGGUAAAGAGAUUUCUUCAACCAAUUUUUAAAUGAGUAUGAGGCAUGGCUCACUUCAAUUGGCAAUGCAUGAAAGCUCGGUCUUCCCUUCAUUUCUCGUCUGGUAUGUUUUCCUUGCAAGUCACUUUUCUCUGGAUUUGACAGGCUACAGGUAGCGAAAAAAGCUCUAAACCAAGUAGUUUAGUCUGCGCUGAUUGUGAUGGAAAUGGUGAGCUCAAAGUCAUUUAUUAUAUCUGCUUUAACUUUCUCCCUUGUAUCCGCUAUUCGUGUUUGAAGAUUGGCAAUGAAUGCCUUGCAUUCAUAAUUGCAGGCUGUACAUGGCCCUGUAGAACUUCCGCAUUCACAUACUUUUUAGCAAGGCAACCUUGAAUUCUCAUUGUCUAGUUAUGUAUUGCCCAUCUAUGUUCAAUAUAGAAGUGUUGUUCUUAUUUCCUAGUGCCCUCUUUGUAUGCAUCAAAUAAAGUUGUUUAAUUUCUGAAUCA